rnacentral:misc_RNA from 1 species
AUUAGGAAUCACAAAUUACAAAUCGAAUAAAACUAUGAAAGUACUAACUUCUAAAUAAAAUAAAUUACUAUUUCCUACACUUUUUCCUAAAAUAAAUAAUUCUAAAAUUUUUGGGAUUUCCUACGUCACUUAUUAGUCAUAUGAUGAAGCCCAUAACUAUAGAUGUGGUCCAACUGGACAGAGCGAGUGGUGAAUUUAACUAUCUUUGCUUUUUUCACAUGUAUAAAUUAUUCAAAUGAUGCUUGUUCUACAUUCCAAGACCUUAGUAUGCAGUAUUAUCAUUUAUCAUGGCUAUGCAAUGGAGUUGGGUGUAAUCUUGGCUUGUGAUGUCAUUGUUGCCAUUGCAACAAGUAUGAAGAUGUUAUGUAUCUGGCCUGUAAUGCCCUUUGAAACAGAGAAAUAGAGAGAGAGAGAAAUAGACUGGGUUGAGAAAAGAAACAGAAAGGGGAGAA